rnacentral:rRNA from 1 species
UACGUAGGGUCCAAGCGUUGUCCGGAUUUAUUGGGCGUAAAGAGCUCGUAGGCGGUUUCGUAAGUCGGAUGUGAAAACUCAGGGCUCAACCCGGAGACGCCAUCCGAUACUGCGAUGACUUGAGUCUGGUAGGGGAACACGGAAUUCCUGGUGUAGCGGUGAAAUGCGCAGAUAUCAGGAGGAACACCGGUGGCGAAGGCAGGUCUCUGGGCAUUAACUGACGCUGAGGAGCGAAAGCAUGGGGAGCGAACAGG